rnacentral:lncRNA from 1 species
GCAUGCGCGCACGGGCGACAUACACGUUCGUAUGUAAAGCAGCAAGGCUCGCAGGGAGGCUGAGAUGAUCGUAUGUAGAACAACAGACUCGUAUGGAGAUCGACGUGUUGGUAUGUAAAAGAGCCUGCGCGCAUGGCGACUUAUGUGCUCAUAAGUAAUGGAGUAUGCGCUCUUGGCGACUAACGGGCUCGUAUGUAAAGGAGCAUGCGCGCGUGGCGACUUACGUGCUCAUAUGUCAAGGAGCAUGCGUGCAUGGCGACUUACGUGCUUGCAUGUAAAGGAGCAUGCGCCAGCCGGCGACUUACGUGCUCGUUAUGUAAAGGAGCAUGCGCCAGCCGGCGACUUACGUGCUCGUAUGUAAAAGAGCAUGCGCGCGUGGCGACUUACGUGCUCGUAUGUCAAGGAGCAUGCGCGCAUGGCGACUUACGUGCUCGUAUGUAAAGGAGCAUGCGCCAGCCGGCGACUUACGUGCUCAUUAUGUAAAGGAGCAUGCGCGCGUGGCGACUUACGUGCUCGUAUGUAAAGGAGCAUGCACGCGUGGCGACUUACGUGCUCGUAUGUCAAGGAGCAUGCGCGCAUGGCGACUUACGUGCUCGUAUGUAAAGAAGCAUGCGCCAGCCGGCGACUUACGUGCUCAUUAUCUAAAGGAGCCUGCGCGCAUGGCGACUUACGUGUUCGCAUGUAAAGGAGCAUGCGCCAGCCGGCGACUUACGUGCUCGUUAUGUAAAGGAGCAUGCGCCAGCCGGCGACUUACGUGCUCGUAUGUAAAAGAGCAUGCGCGCGUGGCGACUUACGUGCUCGUAUGUAAAGGAGCAUGCGCGGUUGGCGACUUACGUGCUCAAAUGUAAAAGAGCAUGCGCCAGCCGGCGACUUACGUGCUCGUAUGUAGGGGAGCAUGCGACUGCUAGCGCAUGUGUGCUUACUCGUAAGUAAAGGAACAUGCGCGUUUGGCGACUUACGUGUUCGUUUGUAAAGGAGCAUGCGCGGUUGGCGAUUUACGUGCUCAAAUGUAAAAGAGCAUGCGCCAGCCGGCGACUUACGUGCUCGUAUGUAGGGGAGCAUGCGACUGCUAGCGCAUGUGUGCUUACUCGUAAGUAAAGGAACAUGCGCGUUUGGCGACUUACGUGUUCGUUUGUAAAGGAGCAUGCGCGGUUGGCCACUUACGUGCUCAAAUGUAAAAGAGCAUGCGCCAGCCGGCGACUUACGUGCUCGUAUGUAGGGGAGCAUGUGACUGCUAGCGCAUGUGUGCUUACUCGUAAGUAAAGGAACAUGCGCGCUUGGCGACUUACGUGUUCGUUUGUAAAGGAGCAUGCGCUGUUGGCCACUUACGUGUUCAAAUGUAAAAGAGCAUGCGCCAGCCGGCGACUUACGUGCUCGUAUGUAAAGGAGCAUGCGCGCGUGGCGAC